CGGCUACGGGGGCCUGGCAGACGGCUCAGUAACACGUGGCCAACCUGCCCUCGGGAGGGGGAUAACCCCGGGAAACUGGGGUAAAACCCCCAUAGGUGGCGGGCUCUGGAAGGACCCGCCGCUGAAAGUGGUGUACGGGGAUGCUCCGUACACCAGCCCGAGGAUGGGGCUGCGGCCCAUCAGGUUGUUGGCGGGGUAACGGCCCGCCAAGCCUAUAACGGGUACGGGCCCUGGGAGGGGGAGCCCGGAGAUGGGCUCUGAGACAAGAGCCCAGGCCCUACGGGGCGCAGCAGGCGCGAAACCUCCCCAAUGCCCGAAAGGGUGAGGGGGUCACCCCGAGUGCCGGCCUCGUGCCGGCUUUUGCCGGGUCUAAACAGCCCGGCGAAUAAGGGGGGGGCAAGACGGGUGUCAGCCGCCGCGGUAAUACCCGCCCCCCGAGUGGUGGGGACUAUUACUGGGCUUAAAGCGCCCGUAGCCGGCCGGGCGUGUCCUCCGUUAAAUCCACGGGCCUAACCCGUGGGCUGCGGGAGGAUACUACCCGGCUUGGGGGUGGGAGAGGGCGGCGGUAUUCCCGGGGUAGGGGUAAAAUCCACUGAUCCCGGGAGGACCACCAGUGGCGAAGGCGGCCGCCCAGAACACGCCCGACGGUGAGGGGCGAAAGCUGGGGGAGCAAACGGGAUUAGAUACCCCGGUAGUCCCAGCUGUAAACGAUGCGGGCUAGGUGUCGGGUGGGCUACGGGCUCACCCGGUGCCGAAGGGAAACCAUUAAGCCCGCCGCCUGGGGAGUACGGCCGCAAGGCUGAAACUUAAAGGAAUUGGCGGGGGAGCACCACAAGGGGUGGACGUUGCGGCUUAAUUGGAGUCAACGCCGGAAACCUUACCGGGGGCGACGGCAGGAUGAUGGACAGGUUGAAGGCCUUUCCGGACGAGCCGAGAGGAGGUGCAUGGCCGUCGCCGGUGCGUGCCGUGAGGUGUCCUGUUAAUUCAGGCAACGGACGAGACCCCCGCCCCCAGUUGCCAUCGGGCCCGAGAGGGCGCCGGGCACUCUGGGGGGACUGCCGCCGAAAGGCGGAGGAAGGAGGGGGCUACGGCAGGUCAGUAUGCCCCGAAUCCCCCGGGCCGCACGCGACGUUCAAUGGCCGGGACAGAGGGUUGCGACCCCGAAAGGGGGAGCCAAUCCCUAAACCCGGCCGUAGUUGGGAUCGAGGGUUGCAACUCGCCCUCGUGAACGAGGAAUCCCUAGUAACCGCGCGUUAAAACCGCGCGGUGAAUACGUCCCUGCUCCUUGCACACACUGCCCGUCGCUCCACCCGAGCUGGGCCUGGGUGAGGCCCG
rnacentral:rRNA from 1 species